GGGCGUGUAGCUCAGUUGGUAGAGCGUUCCAUUCGCAUCGUGAUUUGGAAAGGUCUUUGGUUCGAUUCCUAACUCGUCCA
rnacentral:tRNA from 2 species